GAAGAAAUAUGUUAGACAUCUUGUUUUGGCACAACCAAAUGUGACAUUGUGCAGACUUUGGUUAGCGAGCUAACAACUGUCAUUAGCUAGCAAGUAUAGUUAAAUCUCUAAAUGCAUGUCUCUUUUUUUUCAGUUGUCCAAUGGAGUCCAUGGGGGAGCACAAAGAGGGAACGGGAUCAUGUCAAAGGUCUCAACCUUGAUGAUCGUUCAGCCAUCACCACCGAUCACCUUAAGAUGUCUCAAGACAAAGUUGACCUACUCUCGUUAACCGGGCGACUAAUUCUGGUCUUUCCUGUGCAGUUUUAUUAAACAGAGAAUACAUCUAAAUGUUACAUUAGAUAACAUCUCCCAAAUAAAUGGAUAAAUGGCUGGUGCAUUUAUUGAUGUUUCUUGUUUUAUUGAUCAGCCCUGCCAACCUCACGUGCUGCAGAGUAGACUGGACUUAUAGUGACCUUCAUGCAUGGUUAGGCUGACGAGGAUACGAGGAUGGAAGACAUGUCAGGCACCCAACUAAAUGAAGACUGGACAUAGACAAAAGCUGGCGUCCUAUCUGGUGUCAAACGGUAAGACCUCGUGGACGAUGGGGCUUUUACGCUUCAGAUUAAGGAAGAGCAUCUCUGAGAUCCCCAAACAAGAGAAGACUAUCUCUGGCUGUAAAGGCUUGAAGACAGGCGCUGUUUGGAGCUCUAUACCACCUUCAGCUACAGUUAUUUUGUUGCUUCUGAAAUUGUUAUUUUUGGUCAAUAAAUCUUGAUUACUUUGAUUUGGUGUCCAUCACAAUUGGGGC